ACAAGAGCUUUUUGCGUCGAAAUCCUUCUUUAACUGAAAGGCAGACAGAAGCAGUAACAUCGGCAAGUGCCAACGUUAGUGAAAAUAAUAUACGAGAUGGACACACCACACACCUUUCUUUACAAGUUAGUCAAUCGUGUAAAAAGUUAAAUAUAAUCCUGAUAGCUCUUUACCCUAACGCAACGCGAAUCUUACAGCCGGCGGAUGUUUCCGCUUUCAAACCCUUAAAGACAAUAUGGAAGAAGGGGGUAAUCGAUUGGAGAACAGAACAUCCCACCGAAUCAUUAUCCAGAGAAAAAUUGGCACUAAUUCUAGAAAAAAAUUUACCAAAAUUAAAAUUUGACUCCAUCGCCAAUGGUUUUCGUGUAUGUGGGUUGUUCCCUUGGAAUCCCGACGCUGUGGAUUACUCAAAGUGCUUAGGGAAAAACAAUGUUUUACUUAACACAUGUGAAAGUAGUAAAGUAUUCACCGAAAAAACUCUUAACUAUUAAAAGUUUAAGCAAGUGGUGGGGCAAUAAAAGCUAGUUCAGUUUAAAACAAAUCAUGUCACAUACGAGAACAACGAUUCUGAAAUUUUGUACAAAUUAUAUAAUUUUUUUGAAAAUCAAGAAAUUAACAACAUGGUAGACAUGUCUAAUGAAAUAAGCCAAAAUGUGGGGCAAGUGACGAUCUUAAAACAUCAUCACUUAGACAACAACAUAGAAAUUCUUGAAACAAAAAAUUUCGUACAAAAAAAUAACACUCCGUUGAUGAAACAAUAUCUUACCUGGCCAAUUUCACCACAGCGAAAAGGAAGUAAAAAUUCGGAAAAGUUGCCAUUUGUACUUACAUCAGACCAAUGGCAAAACAUACAAACUGAAAAAAUCGUCAAAAGGAAAAGGAAGAAGAAGCAAAGCAAGAAAUGAAAAAGAAGAGGUCAGAACUAGCUAAAGCUAAAAAAGCGAGGACAACUAAGAUCAUAGAAAUAGAAACUGAUGUUGCUUAAAGUGCCAAUAACUAUAUAGUUUACCCUACUUGAAUGGCAUAGAAAUGGCACAAUUCCGCGAGGGUCCUGGACAGUUACACACUACAGUGCUGCAAAUUGCUUAUCUGAAGGGGCAGGAUUCAAAUUACAAAACCGCAUUGCUGCCAAUAUGCAGGCGUCGCCUCGCCUGCUGAAUAAAUAAAAGGGCUUUAGAACA